rnacentral:rRNA from 1 species
UGAGGAAUAUUGGUCAAUGGGCGCAAGCCUGAACCAGCCAUGCCGCGUGCAGGAUGACGGUCCUAUGGAUUGUAAACUGCUUUUGUACAGGAAGAAACACUCGGACGUGUCCGAGCUUGACGGUACUGUAAGAAUAAGGAUCGGCUAACUCCGUGCCAGCAGCCGCGGUAAUACGGAGGAUCCAAGCGUUAUCCGGAAUCAUUGGGUUUAAAGGGUCCGUAGGCGGUUUAGUAAGUCAGUGGUGAAAGCCCAUCGCUCAACGGUGGAACGGCCAUUGAUACUGCUAGACUUGAAUUAUUAGGAAGUAACUAGAAUAUGUAGUGUAGCGGUGAAAUGCUUAGAGAUUACAUGGAAUACCAAUUGCGAAGGCAGGUUACUACUAAUGGAUUGACGCUGAUGGACGAAAGCGUGGGUAGCGAACA